UUUUUGUCCCUUGUGCGUCCCCUUUUAUUUUUCUCGUUUCAAGCACUGUCGGUAAGUCGUUCACAAAACGAAUUUAGAUUCUUAAAAAAACAUUAUUUUUAAUUUGUUAAUACAGAUGCGCGUGUUCUGGCACGAAAAGUUUUGAAGCUAUUUAAACGCAAUUAAGGGGCGAAAAUAGUACAAAUACAAACGUUGAUUGAAUAAUCAAUACGUUUUCUUAUCAAUUUCGUGUAUUAUUACGUAUCGUAAUUAAAUGCCAAAUU